UACGGAGGGUGCAAGCGUUGUUCGGAUUUACUAGGCGUAAAGCGCGUGUAGGCGUCUUAGUAAGCCUUAGCUUAAAGUCUACAGCUUAACUGUGGAAUGUGCUGGGGAACUACUAAGAUUGAGUCUAAGAGAGGAGAGUAGAAUUCCUGGUGGAGCGGUGAAAUGCGUAGAUAUCAGGAAGAAUACCUGUGGCGAAGGCGACUCUCUGGCUUAAAACUGACGCUGAGACGCGAAAGCGUGGGGAGCAAACAGGAUUAGAUACCCCCGUA
rnacentral:rRNA from 1 species